rnacentral:rRNA from 1 species
CUAAGUCACUUUGUCUUUAUGGCAAAUGUGAGAUGCAGUGUAUGGAAUGUCAAAUUUCUAGUAUGAGAAAUUAACGAUUUAAGUCCUUCUUAAAUGAGGCCAUUUACCCAUAGAGGGUGCCAGGCCCGUAUAACGUUAAUGAUUACUAGAUGGCAUUUCCAAAGAGUCGUGUUGCUUGAUAGUGCAGCACUAAGUUGGUGGUAAACUCCAUCUAAAACUAAAUAUAACCAUGAGACCGAUAGUAAACAAGUACCGUGAGGGAAAGUUGAAAAGAACUCUGAAUAGAGAGUUAAAUAGUACGUGAAACUGCUUAGAGGUUAAGCCCGAUGAACCUGAAUAUCCAUUAUAGAAAAUUCAUCAUUAUGAUUUUAAUAUUAAUAAUAUUAUAAUAAUGGUGUGCAUUUUUUCUAUAACGGACAUUGUAAUCUAUUAACAUAAAAUAUAUUUAUCAUAAGAUCAAUGAUGCGUAAGUUUAUUCAAAUUAUUUUGCUUGCAAUUUAACAUAGAAUAAAUGCUCUUGAUUUGAUAAAGUGUUGAUAGAUUUAUUAUAUAUAGUGCUUAAAUAUUUAUAUUUUAUAAUAGCAUAUUAAUCAUUGAUUUUUAUGUUUAUUAUAUGCACUUAUAUGAUUAACAAUGCGAAAGAUUCAGGAUACCUUCGGGACCCGUCUUGAAACACGGACCAAGGAGUCUAACAUAUUUGCAAGUUAUUGGGUAUCAAAACCUAAUAGCGAAAUUAACAUAACUUUAAUGGGAUUAGUUUUUAGAUUAUUUAUAGUCUAUUAAUUCAAUCCCGGGGCGUUCUAUAUAGUUAUGUAUAAUAAUAUUUAUAUUAUUUAUACCUCUAACUAGAGCGUACCUUGAGCAUAUAUGCUGUGACCCGAAAGAUGGUGAACUAUACUUGAUCAGGUUGAAGUCAGGGGAAACCCUGAUGGAAGACCGAAACAGUUCUGACGUGCAAAUCGAUUGUCAGAAU